rnacentral:misc_RNA from 1 species
AUGAUUGCGAAUGGUUACCUUUGGUGCUGGCUCUCGCGAGCAAGUGCACAUUGGUGGCUUUCAUCCACUACUACCCUUGUGAACCUUUGGCCUCUUGCUCGCUUCGGCUGGCAGAGGAUUUUUACACACACACUCGAAUGUAAUGAAAACGUUUGUCGUGCGCAAGCACUAAUGUA